CCUCCCCCAAGACACCAGGGUGUUUAUUGUUGACCUUUCGAGUUCCUCAAACAUGACCGGUAUUCUCCAAGGCAAGGCAACCGCUUGAGGAUCCACAUCCAUGCGAUGCGGCUGUUCAUUUCCGUACAUGUUAUUGCCGUAGACGUUUGAUAUAAAUUCACAAUCGCUUCAUGCCCACACGGCUCACGCUCAUAUCUUGCAACACCAAAUGUGUACUUUUAACCAGAAGAUCCUU
rnacentral:lncRNA from 1 species